GCCGGGGUGGCCCAGUCUGGUACGGCGCUGGCUUGCUAAGCCAGUUGCGCGUGAGCGCUUCCUGGGUUCGAAUCCCAGCCCCGGCGCCA
rnacentral:tRNA from 1 species